rnacentral:sRNA from 1 species
AACUGUGUUAUACUAUUACGGUAAAGAAGUAAAGACGGUGGUUGCGACUUCGAAAGGUGGGUGGUGCCUAUGUGCAUAACCGAUAAAAUCCUAUUGGAAAGGAGCGAUCAACAGUUGUCAAUGUUUGAAGUAUUGACUAUCAUGUUUGUGACUGGUAACUUUGUUAUUUCACUCGUG